CCCACCCUCAGCCCCACGAGCUCCAACCCUCACCCCAACAAACACACCCAGGGAGCCCAAUAUUUAUACAUUUAUUUAUAAUGAAAGUUCAGUUCUAAUUAUUUACAUGGCAAAAGGAAAGCCGAGGUUCACUCGGGUGAGCCCGGCCCGGGGCAGCAGCGACACACAGACCCUUAAAAACCCCAGCUCCCCUUCCAAAGGCUGCCCAGCACCCCUGGAGCAGUCCCAGUGUCACCCGGAGUAGUCCCAGUGUCACCCAGAGCAGUCCCAGUGUCACUGGGAACGUCACCCGGAGCUCUGGAGCAGUCCCAGUGUCACCCGGAGCAGUCCCAGUGUCACCCAGAGCAGUCCCAGUGUCACUGGGAACAUCACCUGGAGCUCUGGAGCAGUCCCAGUGUCACUAGAAGUGUCCCCUGGAGUUCUGGAGCAGUCCCAGUGUCACCCAGAGCAGUCCCAGUGUCACUGGGAACGUCACCCGGAGCUCUGGAGCAGUCCCAGUGUCACUGGGAGCGUCACCCAGAAUUUUGGAGCAGUCCCAGUGUCACUGGGAGCGUCACCCAGAAUUUUGGAGCAGUCCCAGUGUCACUGGGAGCGUCACCCGGAGUUCUGGAGCAGUCCCAGUGUCACUGGGAGCGUCACUGGGAGCUCUGGAGCAGUCCCAGUGUCACUCUGGAGCAGUCCCAGUGUCACUGGGAACAUCACCCAGAAUUUUGGAGCAGUCCCAGUGUCACUGGGAGCAUCACCCGGAGUUCUGGAGCAGUCCCAGUGUCACUGGGAGCGUCACUGGGAGCUCUGGAGCAGUCCCAGUGUCACUGGGAACGUCACUCAGAGCUCUGGAGCAGUCCCAGUGUCACUGGGAACGUCACUCAGAGCUCUGGAGCAGUCCCAGUGUCACUGGGAACGUCACUCAGAGCUCUGGAGCAGUCCCAGUGUCACUGGGAACGUCACUCAGAGCUCUGGAGCAGUCCCAGUGUCACUGGGAGUGUCACCUGGAGCAGUCCCAGUGUCACUGGGAGUUCUGGAGCAGUCCCAGUGUCACCUAGAGCAGUCCCAGUGUCACUGGGAGCGUCACUGGGAGCU
rnacentral:lncRNA from 1 species